UACAGAGGUCUCAAGCGUUGUUCGGAUUCAUUGGGCGUAAAGGGUGCGUAGGCGGCGCGGUAAGUCGGGGUGUGAAAUCUCGGAGCUUAACUCCGAAACUGCAUUCGAUACUGCCGUGCUUGAGGACUGGAGAGGAGACUGGAAUUACGGUGUAGCGGUGAAAUGCGUAGAGUAAUCGUAAGGAAGACCAGUGGCGAAGGCGGGUCUCUGGACAGGUUCCUGACGUGAGGCACGAGG
rnacentral:rRNA from 1 species